AGUUUGAUCCUGGCUCAGGAUUAACGCUGGCGGUAUGCCUAACACAUGCAAGUCGAACGGAAUACUAAUUAAGAGAAUCUCACACUAGUGAGAGGUUCUCACGAGUAGUAUUUAGUGGCGGACGGGUGAGUAACACGUUGGAACCUGCCCCGAAGUGGGGAAUAACUGCUCGAAAGAGUAGCUAAUACCCCAUAGUAUCCGGUUUAUCCGGAUUAAAGAUUUAUCGCUUCGGGAGGGGCCUGCGUCUGAUUAGCUUGUUGGUGAGGUAAAAGCUCACCAAGGCGACGAUCAGUAGCUGGUUCGAGAGGAUGACCAGCCACACUGGGACUGAGAUACGGCCCAGACUCCUACGGGAGGCAGCAGUGAGGAAUCUUCCACAAUGGACGAAAGUCUGAUGGAGCAAUACCGCGUGCAGGAAGACGCUUUUCGGAGUGUAAACUGCUUUUGUCGUCGAAGAUUAUGACUGUAGACGAAGAAUAAGGACCGGCUAACUACGUG
rnacentral:rRNA from 1 species